rnacentral:rRNA from 1 species
GAUGAACGCUGGCGGCGUGCCUAAUACAUGCAAGUCGAGCGAACAGACGAGGAGCUUGCUCCUCUGACGUUAGCGGCGGACGGGUGAGUAACACGUGGAUAACCUACCUAUAAGACUGGGAUAACUUCGGGAAACCGGAGCUAAUACCGGAUAAUAUAUUGAACCGCAUGGUUCAAUAGUGAAAGACGGUUUUGCUUUCACUUAUAGAUGGAUCCGCGCCGCAUUAGCUAGUUGGUAAGGUAACGGCUUACCAAGGCAACGAUGCGUAGCCGACCUGAGAGGGUGAUCGGCCACACUGGAACUGAGACACGGUCCAGACUCCUACGGGAGGCAGCAGUAGGGAAUCUUCCGCAAUGGGCGAAAGCCUGACGGAGCAACGCCGCGUGAGUGAUGAAGGUCUUCGGAUCGUAAAACUCUGUUAUUAGGGAAGAACAAAUGUGUAAGUAACUAUGCACGUCUUGACGGUACCUAAUCAGAAGGCCACGGCUAACUACGUG